CUUCAAGACGCAGGAUUGAAAAGGGAAUUCGGUGAGAAUCCGAAACAGCCUCCACUACUGUAAUAGGGAGAAUCGUUUCCGGGGUAGCCACUGGUCUGACCGGGAAGGCGGGAAGCGUUUUGAUGAUCUUGAGUCAGGAGACCUGCUGCAUGUGA
rnacentral:ncRNA from 1 species